rnacentral:rRNA from 1 species
AGAGUUUGAUCCUGGCUCAGAACGAACGCUGGCGGCAAGCUUAACACAUGCAAGUCGAACGGAUUAUUCUUGUAGCUUGCUAUGAGAAUAAUUAGUGGCAGACGGGUGAGUAAUGCAUAGGAAUCUACCUAGUAGUAUAGGAUAGCCACUAGAAAUGGUGGGUAAUACUGUAUAAUCCCUGCGGGGGAAAGAUUUAUCGCUACAUGAUGAGCCUAUGUUAGAUUAGCUAGUUGGUGGGGUAAUGGCCUACCAAGGCAGUGAUCUAUAGCUGGUCUGAGAGGAUGAUCAGCCACACUGGAACUGAGACACGGUCCAGACUCCUACGGGAGGCAGCAGUGGGGAAUAUUGGACAAUGGGCGCAAGCCUGAUCCA